GACGAACGCUGGCGGCGUGCUUAACACAUGCAAGUCGAACGGAAAGGCCCUGCUUUUGUGGGGUGCUCGAGUGGCGAACGGGUGAGUAACACGUGAGUAACCUGCCCUUGACUUUGGGAUAACUUCAGGAAACUGGGGCUAAUACCGGAUAGGAGCUCCUGCUGCAUGGUGGGGGUUGGAAAGUUUCGGCGGUUGGGGAUGGACUCGCGGCUUAUCAGCUUGUUGGUGGGGUAGUGGCUUACCAAGGCUUUGACGGGUAGCCGGCCUGAGAGGGUGACCGGCCACAUUGGGACUGAGAUAGGGCCCAGACUCCUACGGGAGGCAGCAGUGGGGAAUAUUGCACAAUGGGCGGAAGCCUGAUGCAGCGACGCCGCGUGCGGGAUGACGGCCUUCGGGUUGUAAACCGCUUUCGCCUGUGACGAAGCGUGAGUGACGGUAAUGGGUAAAGAAGCACCGGCUAACUACGUG
rnacentral:rRNA from 1 species